rnacentral:rRNA from 1 species
GUGAAAUUGUUGAAAGGGAAGCGCUCAACACCAGUGAUGAGGUUGGAAAUUCAGCAGUCAGAAAUGUCUGUGCAUUUUUCCAGCCUCGAGUCAACAUCAGUUUGGACUGUGGGAUAAGGACCUUGGGAGGAGCCCAGCUCAAUCUUGGUUUAUAUCACGACCCAGACUGAGGCUUGCCUUUAAUGAAGGAUGUUGACGAAAUGGUAUUGAACGUCCCGUCUUGAAACACGGACCAAGGAGUCUAACACGUACGCAAGUAUUUGGGUGGUAAACCCUCAUGCGUAAUGAAAGUGAAUUGUGAGAUAUUUUUUGCAUCACAAACCGGUCUGGAUUUUCUUGAUAGAUCUGAGUAAGAGCGUAUGUGUUGGGACCCGAAAGAUGGUGAACUAUGCCUGAAUAGGUUCAAGUAAGGCGAAAGUCUUAUGGAGGACCGUAGCGAUUCUGACGUGCAAAUCGAUCGUCAAAUUUGGGUAUAGGGGCGAAAGACUAAUCGAACCAUCUAGUAGCUGGUUCCGGCUGAAGUUUCCCUCAGGAUAGCAGAAACGCGUGCAACAGUUUUAUGAGGUAAAGCGAAUGAUUAGAGGCCUUGGGAUUGAAACAAUCUUAACCUAUUCUCAAACUUUAAAUAUGUAAGAAGUCCUAGUUACUUGAUUGAACUAGUGACAUUUGAAUGUUGCGUUUCUAGUGGGCCGUUUUUGGUAAGCAGAACUGGCGACGCGGGAUGAACCGAUCGUCGAGUUAAAGUGCCAGAAUGCACGCUCAUCAGACACCAUAAAAGGUGUUGGUUCAUCUAG